rnacentral:misc_RNA from 1 species
CAUUGUCGUAACCUGCGAAAGCAAAGCAACUCGCGAACACGUAGUUAACACUCGGGGAUCCAAGUGCGUCCGCCUUUCUUGGGGGGGCGCCCUUUCUUCCCAACGUCGGGGCGGCUUGGCUUUACUCGCUCGCGCUCGUCGCGAGCUGACGACCCCCGGCCCUCCCGACGCAACAAAAAACCGGCGUGAAAUGCGCCAAGGAACAUGAAAGAGAGUGCGCUCUUCCGGCGUCGGCUUGCGCUGCGCUCGGACGGGCGUCGUCUUCUUGAUGAGUUUAUAAUGACUCUCGGCAACGGAUAUCUCGGCUCUUACAUCGAUGAAGAACGUAGCAAAAUGCGAUACUUGGUGUGAAUUGCAGAAUCCCGUGAACCAUCGAGUCUUUGAACGCAAGUUGCGCCCGAAUCCAUCUGGUCGAGGGCACGUCUGCCUGGGUGUCACGUACACACGCCUCCCGCGAACCUUCCCCUCUUCAUGGACGAAGGGUCUCGCUGGAGCAGAUAUUGGCAUCCCGUGCUUGUUCGGCGCGGCUUGCCUAAAAAUGGAGAGCCGGCGAUGAAACGUCACGUCUAGUGGUGGUUGAAGAGGCCUAACGGCCGACCAGUUCGCGGCGUGAGCGUUUGUCGCACGGAAGUCUCAGACGACACCUUGGACGUCCUCUAAUGGGCGCCACUGUCGCGACCCCAGGUCAGGCGGGACUACCCGCUGAAUUUAAGCAUAUC